GCUUAAUAUUAAUUUCUUAUUUAAUAAAAUUUUAUUUAAUAUAAAUGUUUGGUAAUAAUUUUUAUUUUAUUGGGGUGAUAAUGGUAAAAUGAUCAAUAACUGUUAAUUUUAUUUAAACAAAGAUAAAUGAUUAAAAACUUAUAAUUAAUAAAUGAUCCUAUUUAAAGAUUUAAAGUUUAAGUU
rnacentral:rRNA from 1 species